AUCUAGUUUUUAUGUUUUCUAUUUCCUAGAAUGGUUUGUCAAGAUGUUUACUAAAACAACACAGUUCUAAAAAGAAAAAAUCUUUUUAAUAUCUUUACAUGCAGUCCUAAUGAACUGAAAGAAAACUUUGAUCAUAUUCAAAGAAAUGAAAUACCAACAGGAAAUCAGAUGCCUAUGAACCCAAUCCCAAAUGUCCAGGACCUUCUCUGUGUCCAUUCAACAUUCCCAACUACUUCUUUUGCUUCCAAUAUGAGAUCCUUCAUCAGGACAUGUAUCAAUAACUUGAACUGUUAUGACUAUGCAAAAGAGCCAAUCAACCAGUCCAAAAGAAAACAAAAAGACUCCAGCAACUCUCCACCAGGAAUCAGCAACCAGAUCAGCAUACAUUAACUCCAAGGUUAACUUUGGAGCAACAUAUCAAGACUUGUGCUCCACAGUCCAGGAUUUCCACGCCACGGAGGUGGGAGCGGGAACUCAUAGUCUGCAAGAUGGCUGGAGCAGGACUAUGAAUGAAACUCCACGACUUUAAAAGGAUUUGCAAUAAAACACCAAGGACUUUGGACAGUGACCAGAAGCAAGAUAACUGAUGAUUCAGUUCAUCCUUCUGAGAAACAGGAUGAAAUCCGAAUUUUAUUAUUACCAAAUAGAAGUUGCCAGUGAGCAUUCAGAAACAAAGCAGCCAUUUCAAAAGGUGUUCCCUAAGGAUCUAUACUGAAAUUGAUAGUAUUUUGUUUAUUAAUGAAAUGAUAGAGUCAAACACGAAAGAUAAACAGGUGAUGCUUGAAAACAAUCUAAAUUAUUCAAGAUAUUGGACCAUGAAAUGCCCUGAAAGCAGGUAAAGUAUUAGUCUCACCGUAAAAGCUAAUACAUUUAUUGUAGCAUGGAUUAUAGUUUAUGUCAUGUAUGUUAUUGAUCAAACACAGAUUUAUACAGAGUAUAAAGCAGCCUUCCACAAUCUACUGUCAAUUAAGAUUAUAAUUCUCAUUAUUAAUGGCUACCCUGUUUGGUUUAGUUGACUAUUUCGUCCUACAAGGCUGAGAGGGCAUUUAAUUGGAGAGCUCUGACACAGAGUGGAAAAAAAAUGUUUUCCCAAUGAGACUGAUUGCCAAUAUGAAAAUUAAUGUAUUUUUAGUAGAACCUACUGCUGUACGUAUAGUGAUGGCCUCUGGUUUAGAUCAUUCUAUGUGAGAAUUAAAUCAAAUGUGUGUGAAGCAAGAAAAGUGUUAGCUGUGAUGCAUAAAUGCAACUUCCAGCAUCAGAAGGAUUAUUCCUUCCUGAAUAUGUUUUGCUGUCAAAAUGAAAUGAACUGUAAAUUAAAAUAGUUGCCCUGAUGUAUCAUCACAGCCCUCUUCAACAUUUACUACGCUUUGAAACACGGAAGUUGCAAAUCACAAUCUUCUCUUACCUUCUGACAGUCUUUGGUUAUCUCUAUCAAUCUUCUCCUGAAAAAUAGUGUUUAGGUAGAAAGACCAUUGAGGCUGUUCCUGGAGCUUUGGAGCCCCUUCAUCAUCACACAAUUUGGGCAUGCUGCAUCCUUUCUAUACUAGAGAGAUUGGAAAACGCAGCCACAGACUAUCUAAUGGAAACAAGUGAUAUAGCGAGAAAGUCCACCAUAGUGCUCUCUGUCUCUGUGUUGCUCUGUCUCUCUUUCUCUCUCUUUCUCUCUGUCUCUGUCUCUGUCUCUGUCUCUGUCUCUGUCUCUCUCUCUCUCUCUCAAAUCUCUAAUCUCAUUUUCUCAUCUUUGCCAAUCUAUCAGAUUUGUAGUGGUGCAGUGGUUAGAAUGCAGUAUUGCAGGCAACCUCUGCCCACAGUCUAGAGUUUGAUUCUAAUAGAGCUCAAGGUUCACUCAGUUUUCCAUCCUUCCGAGGUCAGUAAACUGAGGACCCAGAUUAUUGCGGGCAAUACGCUGAAACUUGUAAACCACUCAGAGCAUGCUGUAAAGCACUGGGGAGUGGUAUAUAAGUCUAAGUGCUAUUGCUGUUGCUAUCAAAUUCAGUUCAACAAAACUGUUAUGCAGCACACACCAAAAAUCAAGUCCCAAAAACAAUUUAUUACAUUAUAUUAAAUGUUCAGAUUGCUUGUCAUCCUUACAUGUCAUUCAGACUACUUAUUUGUUCCAUGUAGGAUCUGUGAACAUUCCUACAUACAGUAACAUUUUCUCUGAUGUUUUCAAAUUUUACUGCAAUGGUCUCCUUUACAUCAUAUAUGGCCUCAUAGGGCCUGAUGUUUGGUACACACUUAUGUAUGUAUUUUAAACUUUGGACUAGAAUUUGUAACUGUUACGGUGCACAUGUCUAACCUAAACGUGCAUUUUUAUUUGUAACUUUAUAAAAUAAUAUUUGCAAGCUGACUUCUCUAACCUAUUGGAACUUUGUACAUUAUUUAAAUGAAAAAAUGCAGUCACAAGCAGAUUUUCCCUCAUAAACAUAAAAAACAAAUCAAAGCAAACAAAACUAUCCAGUUUCACGAACAGAAUUUGGAAACGUGCAAACUAUGAGCAAUAACUAAGCUUCCAUUCAUGUACUGUAUGUGAAUUAAAUCCCUGCAUGGAGGGGAAAAAAAACAGCACCCAAACCAUAUCCUCCCUGUUAGUAAAGGGCCUUGAGAGGAUCUGCAGCCACCAUCUUGGUGAAUUGCCUUACCUGCCUGAAAUCCUAUUUGUUUUGGAUGAGGAGUGAGGACUAUGGGCUAGUAGCUCCUGGCAUUUCAAAUGCCUUUGACAGAUUUGUAAUUGGAAAGGAUUCAAACUCAUACACUAACCCCCCCCCACCCCGCCUUUUUGGGGAAAGCAAAUAAAGGGAUACUCAUGUAUCCCUAUAUAGGAAAAGAUCUUUAGCUUGAUAUAACCAUCUUCUCCUUCUCCUCUUCCUUCCUAAAUGCCAGUAUAACUUUCCCUAAACCAGGAGCACAUGGGGAGCAGUGAGGGGAAAGCCUUUGCUAUCAUCAAGUCAAUCUUUUCCACCAUCAGUAAACAUCAUCUAUCCUGACACACAUCACAUUCGUCUCAUGUUGCAGAGUCGCUUCCUGUACGCAUAUCCGUCUCCAAACCAAACAUGCAAUUAUGGUUGGAGAACUUUAAAUAUUGUUCCUUUCAUCUCCUCACAGGAGCAACGGAGGGAGAGCACUUUGAAUGCGAGUGCUGCCUGUUCCAAGAGACUCUCUUUUAUCUCUUCUCAGCGAAGACAAAAUAAAGGGGACUUAGAGAAACUCAAGGAAACCAUUAGAUUCAUAAGAGUCAACUUGCUGGAUUCAGAGAUGCAGUUAAGCAAUUUUCCUUAGAAAAGGUUGGGCAACAAUUAGAUUGGGCAACACGCUGUACUGAGAUUCAGGAUCAGGGAGCUGUGAGGGAGAACUUUCAUUUAAAAAAAACAUAUUGAUGUUCAAUGCAAGUUGUAAGCUUGCAUUUCAGGGGUAAAAUUCAGCUGGUUCCUACUGGAUUGCGCAAUUCAGUAGUUCCGACUGCGCGAAGCCCCGCCCAUCCACACUGACGUUAUAAUGUCCCCUUUUUGCGAUGAUUUUCAGCCUCUGCGCAUGCGCAGAAGGCUUUGCACAAGCACAGAAGGCUUUGCGCAUGCGUGGACAACAGCACACGCACAUUUGCAAACCAGUAGGGAAGGUAAGUGAAUUUCACCCCUGUUGCAUUGCCAUCUCAACUUCAUGCAGGACAAUGAAUAUAUGGAUACCGGCUGAUUAAAGAUGGAGGGAGAGGGAGAAAGAAAGAAAGAAAGAGACACUUUUUCAGAUGUGUGCCCAUUUUAACAUUU